UACGAAGGGGGCUAGCGUUGCUCGGAAUCACUGGGCGUAAAGGGUGCGUAGGCGGGUCUUUAAGUCAGGGGUGAAAUCCUGGAGCUCAACUCCAGAACUGCCUUUGAUACUGAGGAGCUAGAGUCCGGGAGAGGUGAGUGGAACUCCGAGUGUAGAGGUGAAAUUCGUAGAUAUUCGGAAGAACACCAGUGGCGAAGGCGGCUCACUGGCCCGGUACUGACGCUGAGGUGCGAAAGCGUGGGGAGCAAACAGG
rnacentral:rRNA from 1 species